UGGGGAAUUUUGGACAAUGGGCGAAAGCCUGAUCCAGCAAUGCCGCGUGUGUGAAGAAGGCCUUCGGGUUGUAAAGCACUUUUGUCCGGAAAGAAAUCCUUGGCUCUAAUACAGUCGGGGGAUGACGGUACCGGAAGAAUAAGCACCGGCUAACUACGUGCCAGCAGCCGCGGUAAUACGUAGGGUGCAAGCGUUAAUCGGAAUUACUGGGCGUAAAGCGUGCGCAGGCGGUUUGCUAAGACCGAUGUGAAAUCCCCGGGCUCAACCUGGGAACUGCAUUGGUGACUGGCAGGCUAGAGUAUGGCAGAGGGGGGUAAAAUUCCACGUGUAGCAGUGAAAUGCGUAGAGAUGUGGAGGAAUACCGAUGGCGAAGGCAGCCCCCUGGGCCAAUACUGACGCUCAUGCACGAAAGCGUGGGGAGCAAACAGGAUUAGAUACCCUGGUAGUCCACGCCCUAAACGAUGUCAACUAGUUGUUGGGGAUUCAUUUCCUUAGUAACGUAGCUAACGCGUGAAGUUGACCGCCUGGGGAGUACGGUCGCAAGAUUAAAACUUAAAGGAAUUGACGGGGUCAUAGCUGUUUCCU
rnacentral:rRNA from 1 species